rnacentral:lncRNA from 1 species
UCAACCAUGAAUAUCGGUCAACUCUAUUUACUUCGGUUAUUAUUCGAUUUUCGGUACAAAAGUGAUCACCACUAGGUACUAAACAAAGAUAAUAGCCCGUUAAGAAAAACUUAACUCAUGGCCGAGGAUUGGCCGUCGAAGCGCGCAUCACCCUGUAGUGUGGUGCAGUUUAGCCUUAUAUGCAUCGCAUACACACGACCACGUAUAGGAGGGCAGGACAAGCGGCCAUGAAGCCUUCGAGAUCAACACACAUACGCAAGAGACAAGACGGCGGGGGCAAAACCCAAUCCAAAUUCCUGCCGAAGAUCCAAAGACCGCCGAACAGCUCACGCCAUGUAGAGAGUCUCAGAGAGCUCCUCUCUCUCUCAGUCUCACCAGUGGCUAUUUAUUCAAGGGAACCACAGUAGGAGCAUCAGUGCAUGCCCAGUGCUCUGUCACACCGCUAGACGGCACCAUGUACCCACCGACCCACGGACAACCACCUGCUGCUUUCUCGCCGCCGCCGUCCUCCUCCUCCUGCCCCUUCUGACCUCCUAUCCAUGCGCGGUCGCCGCAUAUCGCCUGCCGCCAGCCCCUCCUCCUCCAGGUAUAUAUGCACAUAUGCGAUCAAACAUCCUUUGGGUGCUUCGAACCCUAGCCUUGUUGUGUGUAUGAAAUGAAUCGGGUGCCUCGAUGUGAUUGCAGUGCUGCUGCUAGGUGGUGACGCCGGUGCUUGCGGCCGGAGCGCGGCGAGUGAGGGGAAGGAGCUGGCGGUGGGAGCUGCUGCCAGGCGCUUGGGGCAUAGGACGCCGGUGUGGAGGCCUCCCUCGCCGAGACCCCAGGCCAGUCAGGGGGUGUACACGCCCACGCCGCCACCGCCGCCGUCAAUCAACUAAUAGGGCGCCGAGGCUCCGAGGGCAUGCAUGUUUCGUGCACACUAUGCUGUCUUCCUUCGAUCGAUCAAUAUCUCCUGCUUUUUCCAGGGCGUUGCGUGGAUAUGCACCAGAGGAUAAAGGACGGCUUGCUGCCGUGUACGAAAGCACUUUCGCUAGUGUCAAAUAUGUUGGAGUCAGUUCCAUAUAGUACAAAUACUCGUAUGAUGCUCUCAUGCUCACUUAUCUCCGUUCUAUAAAGUACAACUACGGUAGUUUUUUCUAUGAAAAAAAUCAGAUCUAUUGUUAAAGGUGCUUGACCUUGUCGAUGAAAGUUGGAAAGUCUUCGUGCACGUGUCUCUAAGGACCAGCACGUUCUGGAGCCGUAGUUGUCGCCGUUGAACCCUUGUAUAGAUCUGAAGCAUCAGACACCAAAUCUCGCCACAUGAUAAGAAACUCUAACCUCACCGGCUCAAAGGGGAUGACAGGAACCUACCCCGAAGCUCUGCAGACUACGUCCAGACAGACAAACUCGAGGAGCAUCAGAACCCGGAAGACAAACUCGAAGAAGCGCAGCACCUGCAAGAAAUAUAAAACUAUAACCUAAACUACUAACCGGAGCGGAGGCACCAUGAUGCGCCUCCCCGCCACCGACCGCCGAAGCAGCAGGCAGAGGGAAGCGAAUCCAUGGGCUCGCUGAUGAAACCUAGAGGGGAGAGUUUACCCUAGCAGUCCAGGGUUAGGGGGAGACAACUACGGUAGCUGGCUUGAUAAAUUUUCAUUUCUCAAAUCCGUAAUCAAAGGAGGUGAGAUAGUU